AGGAGAGAGAGGGAUUCGAACCCUCGAUAGUUUUUAACUAUACCGGUUUUCAAGACCAGAGCCAUCAACCACUCGGCCAUCUCUCC
rnacentral:tRNA from 2 species